UGCCGCGAAGCCCCCGUGGUAAGACAGGCGCAGUGUGUUCCCGUGCCUUUAAGCUCGGGGGUCUGCUCGCGUUGAGCGCGCGCCUCCUUUCUGACGGUGGCAUGUGUGUGGUUGGCUCAGGACCCCGAACAUCGACCGCCUGGCAGAGGAAGGCGUGAGGCUCACCCAGCACCUGGCAGCCGCCCCGCUCUGCACGCCGAGCCGCGCAGCCUUCCUCACGGGGAGGCACUCCUUCAGAUCAGAGAACGUUGCGGUGUAUGCAGACAUGCAACGGUGGUGAUGAUUGGGAACUCGCAAGACUGGGACUCCAGUUGUCUUUGGCAUGUUGCUUCUCUGCUUGAAUAUUUGAGUGGAUACCGAGGCAUGGAGGCCAGCAACGGGUACCGGGCCCUGCAGUGGAACGCGGGCUCGGGUGGGCUGCCUGAGAACGAAACCACAUUUGCAAAAAUCCUGCAGCAGCGAGGCUAUGCGACCGGCCUCAUAGGUGAGGUGACACACGAUACCGGUGUCUUCAGGUAGUUGGGAAGAUCCGUGAUCCAAAAGAACGCGUCUUCCUCCAUGGGAAAAAAAUAUCUGUGUCCUUCUCUGAAUCUGACAUUCGUGCCUGGCCACGUGAUCCCUCUUAAAUUGUCCCCAGUUUUGGGGUUUUUUUCUCAUGCAUGAGUUUUUCUUUAAAAAAUUUCAGAGUCCUAGGAGAUCACCCUCUUUCCUUCUCUGGACCUGUCCAUCUUCUUGUCCCGUUGUAUCAGAAUGUUCUUUGGAGAUUAUCUUUCUCUAAGUGGUCACCCACCAUCUCAAAAAACCCCAAAGUUGAUAAACGCUGCCUUCCUUUACGGGGCAAGUCCAGGCAUGGUCAGAAGGUCCUUCCUUGCAAAACAGGGCAUGCCUGGGGUCCCCAAGUCCACCCUCGGGCUCGACAGUUUGCUAGGAGGACUCAGCAUAUGGUUGUAGUCAUGGCUGAUUUAUUAGUAUUGCAGCCUCAGGACCAAAACCAGCAUCAGCUGUGGGCAAAAGUUCAUCGGGUGAAACCUCCUCAUGCCUCUGCCAGGCAAGUCACACGGGAUGCACCGAAUUCCUCCAGGAAUGCGUUUCGACAACACACAUGUGAAAUGCUACCGACCAGAGAAGCUUUUUGGAGAUCCAGCACCCGGGGUUGUGACGGGGGCUGGUCACAUAGGCACCCACUGCAUGGCCCCUACCAAACUUCUAGACCCCAGAAGUAAUGCACAAACCACGCUGGUUUUGCAUAUGGUUUAGCUAGGCAGUUGAUGGGACUCCCUCUUUGGAGAGCCAUUCUGAGACACCAGCCACAGGAGACCCCUGCAAGUUGGUCUUUGCAAGGAGAGCCAUCUCAGGCCCAAGGGGUCAGGUCCUUUCUUCACACUCAAACCAACUGUCCCAUCUCUUUCAGGGGACUGAAAGACCCUGC